rnacentral:rRNA from 1 species
GACGAACGCUGGCGGCGUGCUUAACACAUGCAAGUCGAACGAAGUGGCGAACGGGUGAGUAACGCGUAAUCAACCUGCCCUUCAGAGGGGGAUAACAGUGGGAAACGACUGCUAUUACCGCAUACUGAAGGAGUGGUUUGCGUUUGAUUAGCUAGUUGGAGGGGUAACGGCCCACCAAGGCGAUGAGCAGGAGCCGGUCUGAGAGGAUGAACGGCCACACUGGGACUGGGACACGGCCCAGACUCCUACGGGAGGCAGCAGUGGGGAAUCUUCCGCAAUGGACGAAAGUCUGACGGAGCAACGCCGCGUGAGUGAUGACGGCCUUCGGGUUGUAAAGCUCUGUUAAUCGGGACGCGGUACCGGAAUAGAAAGCCACGGCUAACUACGUGCCAGCCGCCGCGGUAAUAC